rnacentral:lncRNA from 10 species
GAUAAAUCGGUUCUGGGCAGUGGGCAAGGUGAACCCAUUUGGCAGUUACAAUUUUGGGGGCUCAUUUGGGAUUGCCCGUGGCUGCCCAUGGUUUGGUAGCCCCCCUCUGGCAAUGGAUCCAGAGGCCAGCCCAAGCAGGUACCUAGUUCUCUUGAACUGGGGGCUGACUCUGGAACCGGCCUCUACCAGCGGAGCACUGCUGACCCAAUGAACAUGGAUUUAACUGUAAUGGAAAAAUAAUUCUGGGGAAACAUCCCAUAACUGUAGCCCUAUCACAGGGUGUCUGUCUGUAGCCGCAUGGUGGGGUGUCUGAUUUGAGGAAUUGCUGAUGGACGUCCAGCAGGCCUAACUCAGGGAGGCUGUCUGUUCUUCUGUGCUGCCUAAAGACGUCACUGGGUCCCUGGCCAAAGGUUAUCUCUCCUCCCUGUGAGAGAACUGCAGACAAGGACCAAGAGGAGAAAGUUUGAGCCUUGCCAGGUCGAUACUGGGUGCCGAAUGAGUGGCUCGAUCCCCAGAGCUAAGACACAGGGAACAAGGUAAUCAAAAGCCGCUUUGUUCUUCUGGAAGCUG